UACGGAGGGAGCUAGCGUUGUCCGGAUUUACUGGGCGUAAAGAGCGCGCAGGCGGUCGUUCAAGUCGAGUGUGAAAGCCCCCGGCUCAACUGGGGAGGGUCAUUCGAUACUGAUCGACUCGAAGGCAGGAGAGGGUAGUGGAAUUCCCGGUGUAGUGGUGAAAUGCGUAGAUAUCGGGAGGAACACCAGUGGCGAAGGCGACUACCUGGCCUGUUCUUGACGCUGAGGCGCGAAAGCUAGGGGAGCAAACGGG
rnacentral:rRNA from 1 species